GACGAACGCUGGCGGCGUGCCUAAUACAUGAAAGUCGAGCGAAGCGGCGGAUGGGUGAAUAACGCGUGGGUAACCUACCCUUAAGUCUAGGAUACCAUUUGGAAACAGAAUCUAAUACCGGAUACUAAAGGAUGGACAUGCGAGUCAUUAUAUAUUUGGUAAGUUAACGGCUUACCAAGGCGAUGAGGCAUAGCCGAGUUGAGAGACUGAUCGGUCACAUUGGGACUGAUAUACGGCCCAAACUCCGACGUGAGGCAGCAGUAGGGAAUCUUCCACAAUGGACGAAAGUCUGAUGGAGCAACGCCGCUUGAGUGAAGAAGGUUUUCGGAUCGUAAAGUUCUGUUUUUGGUGAAUCGGUAAUCAACCAGAAAGUCACGGCUAACUACGUGCCAGCAGCCGCAGUAAUAC
rnacentral:rRNA from 1 species